rnacentral:rRNA from 1 species
AUUGAACGCUGGCGGCAGGCCUAACACAUGCAAGUCGAGCGGAUCACCGGACGGGUGAGGAAUACCUAUGAUUCUGCAUGGUGGUGGGGGAUAACGUCCGGAACCGGGCGCUGAUACCGCAUACUCAUAGAUUAGCAUAGGUCGGAUUAGCUAGUUGGUGGGGUAAAGGCCGUACAGGGCGACGAUCCGUAACUGGUCUGAGAGGAUGAUCAUUCACACUGGAACGGAGACACGGGCCAGACUCCUACGGGAGGCAGCAGUGGGGAAUAUUGCACAAUGGGCGAAAGCAUGAUCCAGCCAUGCCGCGUGUGUGAAGAAGGUCUUCGGAUUGUAAAGCACUUUAGGUGGGGAGGCGUUACCAACAGAAUAAGCACCGGCUAACUUCGUGCCAGCAGCCGCGGUAAUUC